GACGAACGCUGGCGGCGUGCUUAACACAUGCAAGUCGAACGGAAAGGCCCUGCUUGCAGGGUACUCUCGUGUCGAACGGGUGAGUAACACGUGGGUGUUCUGCCCUCCACUUCUUGAUAUGCUUUCGAAACUGUGUCUAUUAUCGCAUAUGAGCCCUCUUUCGUGUUGUUGUUGGUUAGUUUUUUGGGUGUAGGAUGAGCUCGCGCGCUAUCAGCUUGUUGGUGGGGUGAUGGCGUACCAAGCCGGCGAGUGGGAGCCGGCCUGAGAGGGUGUAUGGCCACAUUGGGAGAGAGAGACGGGCCAGAGACCUACGGGAGGGAGCAGUGGGGAAUAUUGCACAAAAGGCGCAAGACUGAGACAGAGAAGCCGCGUGGGGGAUGAAGGCGUUCGGGGUGUAAAAACCGUUCGCGAGGGACGAAGAGUGUGUGUGACGGUAACGAGAAAAGAAGCACCGGCUAACUACGUG
rnacentral:rRNA from 1 species